GGCCUUGACAUACUAAGAACUUUCCAGAGAUGGAUUGGUGCCUUCGGGAACUUAGAUACAGGUGCUGCAUGGCUGUCGUCAGCUCGUGUCGUGAGAUGUUGGGUUAAGUCCCGNAACGAGCGCAACCUUUUCCUAUUUGCCAGCGGGUCAUGCCGGGAACUUUAAGGAUACUGCCAGUGACAAACUGGAGGAAGGCGGGGACGACGUCAAGUCAUCAUGGCCCUUACGGCCAGGGCUACACACGUGCUACAAUGGUCGGUACAAAGGGUUGCUACCUCGCGAGAGGAUGCUAAUCUCAAAAAGCCGAUCGUAGUCCGGAUCGCAGUCUGCAACUCGACUGCGUGAAGUCGGAAUCGCUAGUAAUCGCGGAUCAGAAUGCCGCGGUGAAUACGUUCCCGGGCCUUGUACACACCGCCCGUCACACCAUGGGAGUUUGUUGCACCAGAAGUAGGUAGUCUAACCGCAAGGAGGACGCUUACCACGGUGUGGCCGAUGACUGGGGUGAAGUCGUAACAAGGUAAGCGUAGAUGA
rnacentral:rRNA from 1 species